GAUGAACGCUGGCGGCGUGCCUAAUACAUGCAAGUCGAGCGAACGGACGAGAAGCUUGCUUCUCUGAUGUUAGCGGCGGACGGGUGAGUAACACGUGGAUAACCUACCUAUAAGACUGGGAUAACUUCGGGAAACCGUAGCUAAUACCGGAUAAUAUUUUGAACCGCAUGGUUCAAAAGUGAAAGACGGUCUUGCUGUCACUUAUAGAUGGAUCCGCGCUGCAUUAGCUAGUUGGUAAGGUAACGGCUUACCAAGGCAACGAUGCAUAGCCGACCUGAGAGGGUGAUCGGCCACACUGGAACUGAGACACGGACCAGACUCCUACGGGAGGCAGCAGUAGGGAAUCUUCCGCAAUGGGCGAAAGCCUGACGGAGCAACGCCGCGUGAGUGAUGAAGGUCUUCGGAUCGUAAAACUCUGUUAUUAGGGAAGAACAUAUGUGUAAGUAACUGUGCACAUCGUGACGGUACCUAAUCAGAAAGCCACGGCUAACUACGUG
rnacentral:rRNA from 1 species